UCGCCGUCGAAAGCAUCCACCAUGCCCAUGUUGAUAAGGAUUUCCUCCAAGUAGUAAGUGACCUCCAGCUUGAAUCGAGGCAGGCCCACCAGGACCUCAACAUCAAUCUCCAUCUUGUCUGGUUGUGUCGACUUCAUAAUUGUGUCAUAGGACAGCCAUAUCCUCGGGUAGAAAAUGACGGGACGUGAUGUCUGAGUGAGGCGUUUGACACAUGUGAUCAAGUAAUACAGAGAUUUCGUGACCUAGUGUUUAUUCAGCGUUCCAAACUCCAUUACCCCAACCAAUGGGACCUUCUCGGGAGCCACUUGCGUGUUUUUACUACCCUCGCGUGGCUGUAGUAAGUCACUGCAGCUGUGCACCGAUACUCGAGUAUGCAAACGUGAUACAGAGGAGCAGAUGACUCUGCGAUGUGAAAUGGACAAACAACAACAACAACAACACAAUCACACGCCCGGCUGCCUAAGUAUAGUUAAGGGGCACCUUACCUGCCUCAGGGUUGUUGACCGUCUUCGCCAGCACCUCUGACUGAGCAUUAUUGUCAGGCUUCCGCAUCAAUCUGUACGACAGAGUCAAGUCAUCACGCUGGGACGGCGGUGACGGUCACUUCGCAAGGGGAUGGCAUCACCGUUUGUGCCUGUCCCAGUACCGUUGGACAGAGUCUCAUCAUCGAGUGGCAGUCACAAGCUGAGAAGGCCACCAAGAGCUUCCUCGCUAGGAAGCGUCUCCAGCAGCUCAGAGCCUUCAUCCUCAGUAGUGGGCGAGCGUGAAAAAAGAUGCGGUAGUUCUCAACGUCAGUCCCGUUGCACGGACAGAAGCACUCGAAGUCAGAUGCCGACACCUCUCCGGAGCCCUGUCACGCUGUCAAGAGAAAACAGGACUCUCGAGCCCUCGAAAGUGUAUUCGAGUUGCCCUCGCUCGAUUUCGGCUCCUUUAGAGAGCCAACACGGAGGAGGAGAGGAGAGGCCAAUCACCCCAACUGUUCUUGGAUACGAGGUCAUGGAGGAGAGGUCAAAGUUUACGGUAUAUAAAGUCCUGGUCAGGAAACCCACGGAUCAGAGCUGGGUUAUUUUCAGGAGGUACGCCGACUUUUCCCGACUCAACGACAAGUUGAAAGAGACGUUUCCAGGCUUUCGCCUUGCGCUGCCUCCGAAAAGGUGGUUUAAAGACAACUACGACAGCGACUUCCUGGAAGACAGACAGUUGGGUCUUCAGGCCUUUUUACAAAACUUAGUCGCGCACAAGGACAUUGCCAACUGCCAAUCAGUGAGAGAGUUUUUAUGUCUGGAUGAGCCGCCAGGGCCCUUCGAUAGUUUGGAGGAGAGCAGGGCUUUCUGCGAGACUCUCGAAGAAAGCAACUACCGUCUUCAGAAAGAACUGCUGGAGAAGCAAAAAGAAAUUGCCUCGCUCAAGAGGAGCCUUGAGGAGAAAGAGCGGGCCGUUCUGCUCAUGGAAAAGCAUAUCAACGGUGAACGUGUGACCUCUCAGUCUCCGUGCGGCCGAUCAGUGCAAGGCAGCGAGAGCAGUGUGGAAUCAUCUGUGGCGGAGGCCGAUCAGGACAUGCAGAGCGACCCCGGGUAAAGAAGCGAAACGCAUGAGAGCACCAGAUAAAAUCCAUCACCCGUGGCCAACACGAGCAUAACAAAUGCAAACAUGCACACACACACACACAAGUAUUUCAUUUACAGUAUAUUUAAUGAGCUAAAGCCUCAGCCGCGUCAAUCUUCAUGCAGCAUUACUAUUACUAAUUCUUUCCACCAAGUCUUCUGAUCUGAUUUGGUAAAAUGAUUCUCAGAUUAAAAGAACCAACAACUCACAGAUUUAUUUUAGUCAUGUGAAAAAGCAGUUUGGCCCACGAAUGAAUUACAUCAGGUUCAAGUAUGUUGUCACACAGACAUAAAUUAUCAUUCUGCGGAAUACAUGCAAUGAUAAAUGCGUUUGGUUCCAGAGCAGAUGCAACCAGUAUGCCAAAGAAAUGAAUCAAUUUGUGGUUUUCACAAAUCUAUUGUGUCUGUUAAAAAGAUGUCCGACAUCAUUUUCCUCGCAAGUUAAAUGGGCCGUCGAUGAAAGCGAGUCAGCAAGCGGCAUUGGCAAUUUGUCUCAAGUUCAUCAAAAAUAUCCAAAUGGGUACCAAAUAUGGAUGAGUCACCCUCGGCACUCUGUUUUUCUAAGCGCUGUUUCUAGCAUACUUCGAUUAUGUUUCUGAAGAUCAAAUAUUUUGUUUUCUUUACCAUCCCUUCUGCUCUUGACAAUCGCAUCCUGCAGUCAUGAGGCCCCAAUCUGAGAGCAGAGUCCAGAACAUGUGAGUGGCACGUGUCAGGUCCAUCUAGGGCGAUCGUCCGCCUGUUGGUGCGGGCCGUCGCUCAGCGCCUCUCCGCCAAUCAUCCAGGUCGUCCAGCUGGACUAACGAAAGAUGGAUUAUUAAAAACACUGGUCUUCCUUCUCCUCCUACUCCUCUCACCAUACGACUCAAGCCAUGUCCAUCACCAGCUUGACCCCCCUCCCAGAAAAACCCCCACAUAUAGAUAUGAAAACUCGAUGGGUCGACAUAUUUCUUUUAAUGCGCGCUCAUACUUCCGUGCCAUUACUUUAACCUCCAUUAAAAGUGUAGACAGACCUCGACAUCUUAAAAGCAGGUUUUAGACCACCUGAACCAUCAAAGCGCUUCAGUCUGCUUCCAAGUUUUUCAGGUAUUGUCCGAUUAAUCCGAGACUCAAAAUGUCAUAACCAAGCUUGCAGGCGAACGCAUCACUGGAACAUGAUGUAUCAAAACCAACAAUGGAGGGAAAAUAGUUUUGAGAAAUUCGAGGCAACCAAGUGCAAGUUGGCUCUUCUCAUGUCUGUCUGUCACAUUCCACAGUCUCACGCACUGCAUCUGCAUUCUGUAGGCAAAGCCAGAUCGAGUGCAAAAAAAUGUUUACAACAUUUUACCUCCCCUUGCAAUGAGCUUCCAAACAGGAAGUUGGCGAAGUAUAACCUCCUAGCGAACUGUGACGGGUAUCGAUUAUUAUAUGUGGAAUAAAAGAUAGUGACUCAGAA